rnacentral:rRNA from 1 species
UUCCGGUUGAUCCUGCCGGAGGCUACCGCUAUUGGAGUUCGAUUAAGCCAUGCGAGUCCAGAGCUUUCGGAGCUCGGCGUACCGCUCAGUAACACGUGGGUAACCUAACCUAUGCAGGGGAAUAACCUCGGGAAACUGAGAAUAAUGUCCCAUAGUCCACUACGCCUGGAACGGUGAGUGGAUGAAAGCUCAGGCGGCAUAGGAUGGGCCUGCGGCGUAUCAGGUUGUAGGGGGUGUAAAGUACCCUCUAGCCCUCUACGCGUACGGGUGUUGGGAGACAUAGCCCGGAGAUGGAUUCUGAGACACGAAUCCAGACCCUACGGGGUGCAGCAGGCGCGAAAACUUGGCAAUGCGAGCAAUCGUGACCAGGGAACUCCAAGUGGCUGGGGUAAGACCCAGUCUUUUCAGAACUCUUCAAAGGUUUUAGAAUAAGGGGUGGGUAAGGACGGUGCCAGCCGCCGCGGUAAUACCGGCGCCUCAAGUGGUAGUCGCUUUUAUUGGGCCUAAAACGUCCGUAGCCGGUUUGGUACAUUCGUGGGUAAAUCAACUCGCUCAACGAGUUGAAUUCUGCGAGGACGGCCAGACUUGGGACCGGGAGAGGUGUGGGGUACUCUCAGGGUAGGGGUAAAAUCCUGUCAUCCUGAGAGGACCACCUGUUGCGAAGGCGCCACACUAGAACGGAUCCGACGGUCAGGGACGAAGCCUAGGGGCACGAACCGGAUUAGAUACCCGGGUAGUCCUAGGUGUAAACGCUGUGGACUUGAUGUUGGAGGAGCUCCGAGCUCUUUCAGUGUCGAAGCGAAGGUGAUAAGUCCACUGCCUGGGAAGUACGGUCGCAAGGCUGAAACUUAAAGGAAUUGGCGGGGGAGCACCGCAACCUGAGGAUUGUGCGGUUUAAUUGGAUUCAACGCCGGA